GCCUUCGUGGUGUAGUGGGCAGCACGCUGGGCGCGUAUUCCAGAGUCCCUGGUUCGAGUCCUGGCGAAGGCG
rnacentral:tRNA from 1 species